UUAAUCACUAUCUUCUAUGACGAUCCUUUGAUCAAGAGUAAUUAAAAACUAACUACUAAUAAUGUAUAUCUCAAAUUCUUAAUAUCUUGAGAAUAUAUAAAAUCAUCUUUAUUAAUUUCUAAGAUAAAUCAUGGACACAUAAAUAUGAUUGAAAUAAAAUUAUUCUUUAUUUAUAAUAAAUAUUUUAUAAGUACAAAGUUAUACCCUAGAAUUACCUAAUG
rnacentral:lncRNA from 1 species